rnacentral:rRNA from 1 species
AUUGAACGCUGGCGGCAGGCCUAACACAUGCGAGUCGAGCGGAUGAAGGGAGCUUGCUCCUGGAUUCAGCGGCGGACGGGUGAGUAAUGCCUAGGAAUCUGCCUGGUAGUGGGGGAUAACGUCCGGAAACGGGCGCUAAUACCGCAUACGUCCUGAGGGAGAAAGUGGGGGAUCUUCGGACCUCACGCUAUCAGAUGAGCCUAGGUCGGAUUAGCUAGUUGGUGGGGUAAAGGCCUACCAAGGCGACGAUCCGUAACUGGUCUGAGAGGAUGAUCAGUCACACUGGGACUGAGACACGGUCCAGACUCCUACGGGAGGCAGCAGUGGGGAAUAUUGGACAAUAGGCGAAAGCCUGAUCCAGCCAUGCCGCGUGUGUGAAGAAGGUCUUCGGAUUGUAAAGCACUUUAAGUUGGGAGGAAGGGCAGUAAGUUAAUACCUUGCUGUUUUGACGUUACCAACAGAAUAAGCACCGGCUAACUUCGUG